rnacentral:rRNA from 1 species
AGAGUUUGAUCCUGGCUCAGAUUGAACGCUGGCGGAAUGCUUUACACAUGCAAGUCGAACGGGGCUUGGGGGCUUGCUCCCUUGCUUAGUGGCGAACGGGUGAGUAAUGCGUCGGAACGUACCGAGUAAUGGGGGAUAACGCAGCGAAAGUUGUGCUAAUACCGCAUACGCCCUGAGGGGGAAAGUGGGGGACCGCAAGGCCUCACGUUAUUCGAGCGGCCGACGUCUGAUUAGCUAGUUGGUGGGGUAAAGGCCCACCAAGGCGACGAUCAGUAGCGGGUCUGAGAGGAUGAUCCGCCACACUGGGACUGAGACACGGCCCAGACUCCUACGGGAGGCAGCAGUGGGGAAUUUUGGACAAUGGGGGCAACCCUGAUCCAGCCAUUCCGCGUGAGUGAAGAAGGCCUUCGGGUUGUAAAGCUCUUUCAGCUGGAGUGAAACGGUGAGCGCUAAUAUCGCUUGCUAAUGACGGUACCAGCAGAAGAAGCACCGGCUAACUACGUGCCAGCAGCCGCGGUAAUACGUAGGGUGCGAGCGUUAAUCGGAAUUACUGGGCGUAAAGCGUGCGCAGGCGGAUUGUUAAGCAAGACGUGAAAUCCCCGGGCUUAACCUGGGAAUGGCGUUUUGAACUGGCAGUCUAGAGUGCGUCAGAGGGGGGUGGAAUUCCACGUGUAGCAGUGAAAUGCGUAGAGAUGUGGAGGAACACCGAUGGCGAAGGCAGCCCCCUGGGAUGACACUGACGCUCAUGUACGAAAGCGUGGGUAGCAAACAGGAUUAGAUACCCUGGUAGUCCACGCCCUAAACGAUGUCAACUGGUUGUUGGGGGAGUGAAAUCCCUUAGUAACGAAGCUAACGCGUGAAGUUGACCGCCUGGGGAGUACGGUCGCAAGAUUAAAACUCAAAGGAAUUGACGGGGACCCGCACAAGCGGUGGAUGAUGUGGAUUAAUUCGAUGCAACGCGAAAAACCUUACCUACCCUUGACAUGUCCGGAAUCCUGCAGAGAUGCGGGAGUGCCUGAAAGGGAAUCGGAACACAGGUGCUGCAUGGCUGUCGUCAGCUCGUGUCGUGAGAUGUUGGGUUAAGUCCCGCAACGAGCGCAACCCUUAUCAUUAGUUGCUACGCAAGGGCACUCUAAUGAGACUGCCGGUGACAAACCGGAGGAAGGUGGGGAUGACGUCAAGUCCUCAUGGCCCUUAUGGGCUGGGCUACACACGUGCUACAAUGGUGGUGACAAUGGGAAGCAAUAUCGCAAGAUGGAGCGAAUCCCCAAAAGCCACCUCAGUUCAGAUUGUCCUCUGCAACUCGAGGGCAUGAAGUCGGAAUCGCUAGUAAUCGUAGAUCAGCAUGCUACGGUGAAUACGUUCUCGGGCCUUGUACACACUGCCCGUCAAACCAUGGGAGUUGAUUUUACCCGAAGUCGGUCAGCUAACUCGCAAGAGAGGCAGCCGCCCACGGUAGGAUGAAUGACUGGGGUUAAGUCGUAACAAGGUAACCGUAGGGGAACCUGCGGUUGGAUCACCUCCUU